rnacentral:rRNA from 1 species
GAUGAACGCUGGCGGCGUGCCUAAUACAUGCAAGUCGAGCGAACAGACGAGGAGCUUGCUCCUCUGACGUUAGCGGCGGACGGGUGAGUAACACGUGGAUAACCUACCUAUAAGACUGGGAUAACUUCGGGAAACCGGAGCUAAUACCGGAUAAUAUAUUGAACCGCAUGGUUCAAUAGUGAAAGACGGUUUUGCUGUCACUUAUAGAUGGAUCCGCGCCGCAUUAGCUAGUUGGUAAGGUAACGGCUUACCAAGGCAACGAUGCGUAGCCGACCUGAGAGGGUGAUCGGCCACACGGGAACUGAGACACGGUCCAGACUCCUACGGGAGGCAGCAGUAGGGAAUCUUCAGCAAUGGGCGAAAGCCUGACGGAGCAACGCCGCGUGAGUGAUGAAGGUCUUCGGAUCGUAAAACUCUGUUAUUAGGGAAGAACAAAUGUGUAAGUAACUAUGCACGUCUUGACGGUACCUAAUCAGAAAGCCACGGAUAACUACGUG